rnacentral:rRNA from 1 species
UUCCGGUUGAUCCUGCCGGACCUGACUGCUAUCGGAUUGGUACUAAGCCAUGUGAGUCGUUGUAGCAAUACAAGGCAUACGGCUCAGUAACACGUAGUCAAUCUAACCUAUGGACGGGGAUAACCUCGGGAAACUGAGGAUAAACCCCGAUAGAUCAUUAUGCCUGGAACGGUUUAUGGUCCAAAUGAUUCGUCGCCGUAGGAUGGGACUGCGGCCUAUCAGCUUGUUGGUGAGGUAAUGGCCCACCAAGGCUAUUACAGGUACGGGCUCUGAGAGGAGAAGCCCGGAGAUGGGUACUGAGACACGGACCCAGGCCCUAUGGGGCGCAGCAGGCGAGAAACCUUUGCAAUGUGCGCAAGCACGACAAGGUUAAUCCGAGUGUUUCCUGCUUAAGGAAUCUUUUGUUAGUUGUAAAACCACUGAUGAAUAAGGGGUGGGCAAGUUCUGGUGUCAGCCGCCGCGGUAAAACCAGCACCUCAAGUGGUCAGGAUGAUUAUUGGGCCUAAAGCAUCCGUAGCCUGUUCUAUAAGUUUCCGGUUAAAUCCAUUAGCUCAACUAAUGGGCUGCCGAAAAUACUGUAGAACUAGGAAGUGGGAGAGGUAGACGGUACUCGGUAGGAAGGGGUAAAAUCCUUUGAUCUAUUGAUGACCACCUGUGGCGAAGGCGGUCUACCAGAACACGUUCGACGGUGAGGGAUGAAAGCUGGGGGAGCAAACCGGAUUAGAUACCCGGGUAGUCCAGCUGUAAACGAUGCAGACUCGGUGAUGCCCUGGCUUGUGGCCAGUGCAGUGCCGCAGGGAAGCCGUUAAGUUUGCCGCCUGGGAAGUACGUACGCAAGUAUGAAACUUAAAGGAAUUGGCGGGGGAGCACCACAAGGGGUGAAGCCUGCGGUUCAAUUGGAUUCAACGCCGGGA